UACGGAGGGCGCGAGCGUUGUUCGGAAUUACUGGGCGUAAAGGGCGCGCAGGCGGCUGCUCAAGACAGGCGUGAAAGGCCUGGGCUCAACCCGGGAAUUGCGCUUGAGAAUGGGCUGGCUUGAGUGCGGGAGAGGAUGGUGGAAUUCCCAGUGUAGAGGUGAAAUUCGUAGAUAUUGGGAAGAACACCGGUGGCGAAGGCGGCCAUCUGGACCGCAACUGACGCUGAGGCGCGAAAGCGUGGGGAGCAAACAGG
rnacentral:rRNA from 1 species